AAGGAGGGACACAUCUGCGAUGUCAUCUACUCUCUCAGCUGGCUGACUGACAGGCUGAUAAACGCCGUCAAGUCGGCUGUCUGCUAAUUUGAUUUAUAAUUUAUUGCGUGUUUGUACAAGCAUGGGAGA
ensembl:ncRNA W07G4.11 ncRNA